GACGAACGCUGGCGGCGUGCUUAACACAUGCAAGUCGAACGGAAAGGCCCUGCUUUUGUGGGGUGCUCGAGUGGCGAACGGGUGAGUAACACGUGAGUAACCUGCCCUUGACUUUGGGAUAACUUCAGGAAACUGGGGCUAAUACCGGAUAGGAGCUCCUGCUGCAUGGUGGGGGUUGGAAAGUUUCGGCGGUUGGGGAUGGACUCGCGGCUUAUCAGCUUGUUGGUGGGGUAGUGGCUUACCAAGGCUUUGACGGGUAGCCGGCCUGAGAGGGUGACCGGCCACAUUGGGACUGAGAUACGGCCCAGACUCCUACGGGAGGCAGCAGUGGGGAAUAUUGCACAAUCGGCGGAAGCCUGAUGCAGCAACGCCGCGUGCGGGAUGACGGCCUUCGGGUUGUAAACCGCUUUCGCCUGUGACGAAGCGUGAGUGACGGUAAUGGGUAAAGAAGCACCGGCUAACUACGUG
rnacentral:rRNA from 1 species